GAGAAAAUCCCUUUAAAUAGGCAAAAGGUUUGAAUCAUAUUCAAAACCAAAUAGACCCUUAAUACAAGUCUUACCUGCAUUAGGAAUCCUUAUAGCCUUAGAUAUUUGACUUCCUUUAGGAGAUCCAUUAGGUGGCAACUAUUGGAGCCUUUGCACCUACUUUUUUACACACUAUAUGGAGGUUAGGGGACGCCCCAUGUUGGUCCCACACAUCUUUUUUAAGGUGGGCAUGCCCAACUUGAUUAAAUCAAGUGGCGCUCCAUACAAACAAUCAAAAAAAUUGAUUAAAGAUUUGAUCCCUUAAUUUAUAUGAUCCAAAACUCUAAGCACCCAAUAAUUGAAGCCUAAUAAAUCUAAUUUAUUUAGAUUAUUAGCAAGUAAUUAACUUGAAUUAAUCUUAUUAAAUAAAAAUUUAAAAAAAAGAGAAAAUUAGAUUCAACCAUGUGCUAGCAAGAUUAUUCUGAACCCAAUAGGAUUUUUCUAAAUCCAAUUGAGACUUCAUAAAUCUAAUUACUUAUUCCAGAUCUAAUCCAUUUGUUGUGUGAUCCUAUAGGUUCAAUUCUAUCUGAUAGUGAGAUAUACUGUGAUCUCUAUUAUAGUAUUAUUGAAACUCUUUUUAAUAGGUUGGAAUAAUUUCACUCUAACUCAUCAAAGAUUGUCAAUCUUGAGUAAUUCUAGUAAGCUCUUACAAUCCACUAGUGACAC
rnacentral:lncRNA from 1 species